GAGAAUGAUGAUCUGAUAUUGUCGCCCCAGUCUUAGGAUUCGCUCUCAUGGCGGACCUGUGCUGAUUGACAUACUUGUGAAUCUGACUC